rnacentral:rRNA from 1 species
AUUGAACGCUGGCGGCAUGCUUUACACAUGCAAGUCGAACGGUAACAGGGAGCUUGCUCCGCUGACGAGUGGCGAACGGGUGAGUAAUGCAUCGGAACGUGCCUAUUUGUGGGGGAUAACGUAGCGAAAGUUACGCUAAUACCGCAUACGCCCUGAGGGGGAAAGCGGGGGAUUCGUAAGAACCUCGCGCAAUUAGAGCGGCCGAUGUCGGAUUAGCUAGUUGGUGGGGUAAAGGCUCACCAAGGCGACGAUCCGUAGCGGGUCUGAGAGGAUGAUCCGCCACACUGGGACUGAGACACGGCCCAGACUCCUACGGGAGGCAGCAGUGGGGAAUUUUGGACAAUGGGCGAAAGCCUGAUCCAGCCAUGCCGCGUGAGUGACCAACGCCUUCGGGUU